rnacentral:lncRNA from 1 species
CCAGCCUCAGGACCGCUUUCCUUCCUCCGCCCAUUGCUCCCAGUCGCGUCCCUUCCCGGCCGCCGUAGAGCAAGCGACGCGGGAGUUCGGCAGUCGCGUCGCCUAGGCAACGGCUCGGCGGCGGGCUGCGGGCGCCAGGCGGCCCCGGGGAGGCGCUCGCGCCGGCGGCCGGGGCUCUACGAGGCGACAAGGCGGCAGACUUUCUGCACUGGCUAAUCAAGAGUGAAAAACCUGAAGAGAUGCAGGCAGGAAAACGGAAUUAAACUAGGUGGGUAGCUGUGUGGCUCACACCUCUGUGCCUCUCAUCACAUUUGCCUACACACCCUUUUCCUUUUUUCUUUUCUUUCUUUCUUUUUUUUUCUCUGCUUGAAGAAAAGAAAGCCAAUAGAAUAGAUUCUAAAUGAAGUUCGAGGGGGAAUUUUAGUCACCUAAAGAAAAGGCAGGGUGACUCUU